GCCGCCGUGGUGGAAUGGUAGACACCCCAGACUUAAAAUCUGUUGUCAGUAAUGGCGUGCCGGUUCGAGUCCGGCCGGCGGCA
rnacentral:tRNA from 1 species